rnacentral:rRNA from 1 species
GAUGAACGCUGGCGGCGUGCUUAACACAUGCAAGUCGAACGGAAAGGCCCAAGCUUGCUUGGGUACUCGAGUGGCGAACGGGUGAGUAACACGUGGGUGAACUGCCCUUCACUUCGGGGUAUGCCUUGGAAACUGGGUCUAAUACCGGAUAGGACCACGUCUUGGAUGUUGUGGUGGAAAGUUUUUUCGGUGUGGGGUGAGCUCGCGGCCUAUCAGCUUGUUGGUGGGGUAUUGGCCUACCAAGGCGUAGACGGGUAGCCGGCAUGCGAGGGUGUACGGACGCAUUAGACUUGUGAGAGAGGCAAGAGUCGUAAAGGUGGCAGAAGUGGCGAAUAUCGGACAGUGGGACGCAGCGUGAGUCAGGGAGGUCGCGGGGUGGAAGAAGGCCUUCGGGAUGUAAAAACCUAUCGCUAGGGAAGUAGCGUUGUUGUGACGGUACCUGGAGAAGAAGCACCGGCUAACUACGUG